UACGAAGGGGGCUAGCGUUGCUCGCAAUCACUGGGCGUAAAGGGUGCGUAGGCGGGUCUUUAAGUCAGGGGUGAAAUCCUGGAGCUCAACUCCAGAACUGCCUUUGAUACUGAAGAUCUUGAGUUCGGGAGAGGUGAGUGGAACUGCGAGUGUAGAGGUGAAAUUCGUAGAUAUUCGCAAGAACACCAGUGGCGAAGGCGGCUCACUGGCCCGAUACUGACGCUGAGGCACGAAAGCGUGGGGAGCAAACAGG
rnacentral:rRNA from 1 species